rnacentral:rRNA from 1 species
UUAAGAGGAAAGUUGUGUGAUUCAAUUUAAUUUGAAUUUAUUUUAUUAUUAAUAAAUUUAGUUUAAUUAAAAUAUUAUAGCGUUUUAUUAUUUAUAAAGAAAAAAUUUUUUUAAUUAUAGAAAAUUAGUAUUGUGAAAGAAUUAAUAUAAAUGUAUUUAAGAAUAAUUAAUUUUUAGUACCUUGUGUAUCAGGGUUUAUUAAUUAAAUUUUAAUAUUUUAAAUUUCUCGAAUUGAUAAGAGUUAAUUAUUAAUAAAUUUUAUUGUAAAAUAAAUAUUUAAAAUUAAUAGUUAGUAAUGAAACGUUAUUCGUUUAUUAAAAUAUCUAGUUUUUUAAGAAAAAAAUUUAAUUUUAUUUAUAAUAUUUAAUUUAAUUAGUAAUUUAAUUAUAAAUUAAAUAAUUAGGGAUUAGCUUAAUUAUUAAUUAUUAAAAAUAAUUUUAUUAGAAAAAAUUUGUAGGGUUAGAAAUUUUCAUCUUUUAGUUUGUUAUAAUUAUUUUUUUUAUAGGAUAAAAAUUUAAAUUUAUUUUAAUUUGUUUAUUAAAAUAUUAAAAUUAAUAUUUAUAUUUUAAGGAAUAAUGAUAAAAUUAGUAUAAUAGUAUUGUUAUAUAUUUUGUAGAUUGUAGGUUAUAAUAAGGAAUUCGGCAAAUUUAUUUUUCGCCUGUUUAUUAAAAACAUGUCUUUUUGUUUAAAAUUUAAAGUCUGACCUGCCCAAUGAAAAAUUUUAAUGGCCGCAGUAUUUUGACUGUGCAAAGGUAGCAUAAUCAUUAGUUUUUUAAUUGAAAGCUGGAAUGAAGGGUUUGACGAGAAAAUAGCUGUCUCUUUAUAAUUUUUUUAUAAUUUUAUUUUUAAGUUAAAAAGCUUAAAUUUAUUUAAAAGACGAGAAGACCCUAUAGAGUUUUAUAUAAUUUAGUUUAAUAAUUUAAUUAGAAUAAAAAAAAUUUUAUUUGAAAUUAUAUUUUAUUGGGGUGAUGGAAAGAUUUAAUUAACUUUUUUUUAAUAAAAACAUUAAUUUAUGAUUAUUUGAUCCAAAUAUUUUGAUUAUAAGAUUUAAUUACCUUAGGGAUAACAGCGUAAUUUCUUUAGAGAGUUCAUAUCGAUAGAGAAGUUUGCGACCUCGAUGUUGGAUUAAAAUAAAUUCUUGGUGUAGUAGCUAAGAAGAUCAGGUCUGUUCGACCUUUAAAUUUUUACAUGAUCUGAGUUUAAACCGGUGUAAGCCAGGUUGGUUUCUAUCUUUAAAUUAAUUAAAUAUUUUAGUACGAAAGGACCAAGUAUUUGUAAAAUUUACUAUUGUUAGAAUUAAAUUAAUAU